rnacentral:RNase_P_RNA from 1 species
AAAGUUGACCGGCAGUCGCUCCAGAAUUUCUGGAGAGGAAAGUCCGGGCGCCUCAGGGCAGGAUACCCUGUGAAAACGGGGGGCCCGCGUUGCGGGAACGGAAAGUGCCGCAGAGAACAGUCCGCCCAUUCUGUUGAAUGAGUGAGUUGUGAAAAGGUGGGGUAAGAGCCCACCGGCCCAAUGGUAACAGCGGGCGCAGGUAAACCCUUUCCGGCGCAAGACCAAGCAGAAGGCUUUUUGCCAUCGGCAAAAGGAGGCUGCCCGUCUCUAAUGCCUUCGGGUAGGUCGCUCAAUGUUCCGCCGUGCGGAACCAGAUAAAUGACUGCCGCUUCCUGCAGGAAGUACAGAACCCGGCUUAUGGUCAGCUUUCCCU